GCAAGUCGAGCGAGAUCUUCGGGUCUAGCGGCGGACGGGUGAGUAACGCGUGGGAACGUGCCCUUUGCUACGGAAUAGCCCCGGGAAACUGGGAGUAAUACCGUAUGUGCCCUUUGGGGGAAAGAUUUAUCGGCAAAGGAUCGGCCCGCGUUGGAUUAGGUAGUUGGUGGGGUAAUGGCCUACCAAGCCGACGAUCCAUAGCUGGUUUGAGAGGAUGAUC
rnacentral:rRNA from 1 species